AGCGAACGCUAGCGGGAUGCUUCAAACAUGCAAGUCGUACGCGAAAGGGGUUUCGGCCCCGAGUAGAGUGGCGCACGGGUGCGUAACACGUAGCUAACAUCCCUCUUCGCUGGGGAUAACUCCGGGAAACCGGAGCUAAUACCGAAUAAUCUGUCGAGGCCUGCGGGCCUUUAUAGUAAAGCCUUACGGCGCGAAGAGAUUGGGCUGCGGCCUAUUAACUAGUUGGUGAGGUAAUGGCUCACCAAGGUUACGAUAGGUAGCUGGUCUGAGAGGACGACCGGCCACACUGGAACUGACACACGGUCCAGACUCCCACGGGAGGCAGCAGUUGGGAAUAUUGGACAAUGGGCGAAAGCCUGAUCCAGCAAUCCCGCGUGAAUGAUGAAGGCCUUCGGGUCGUAAAGUUCUUUUAGUGGGGACGAAAAAAAUGACGGUACCCACAGAAAAAGCACCGGCUAACUCCGUGCCAGCAGCCGCGGUAAUACGGAGGGUGCAAGCGUUGCUCGGAAUCAUUGGGCGUAAAGCGCGUGUAGGCGGCUGGACAAGUCUGAUGUGAAAUCCUGGAGCUUAACUCCAGAACUGCAUCGGAUACUGUCUAGCUAGAGGGUGAGAGAGGAUGGUGGAAUUCCUGGUGUAGGGGUGAAAUCCGUAGAUAUCAGGAGGAACAUCGGUGGCGAAGGCGGCCAUCUGGCUCACUUCUGACGCUGAGACGCAAAAGCGUGGGGAGCAAACAGGAUUAGAUACCCUGGUAGUCCACGCCCUAAACGAUGGUCACUAGACGUCGGGUUUUCCAAUAGACUCGGUGUCGCAGCUAACGCAUUAAGUGACCCGCCUGGGAAGUACGGUCGCAAGAUUAAAACUCAAAGGAAUUGACGGGGGCCCGCACAAGCGGUGGAACAUGUGGUUUAAUUCGAUGCUACGCGAAAAACCUUACCUAGACUUGACAUCCUGUGCAAUCUGGAGAAAUUCAGGGUUCCCUUACGGGACGCAGAGACAGGUGCUGCAUGGCUGUCGUCAGCUCGUGUUGUGAGAUGUUGGGUUAAGUCCCGCAACGAGCGCAACCCUCGCCUUUAGUUACCAGCAUUAAGUUGGGGACUCUAAGGGACCGCUUGGCUAUAAGCCAGAGGAAGGUGGGGAUGACGUCAAGUCCUCAUGGCCUUUAUGUCUAGGGCUACACACGUGUUACAAUGGGUACCACAAAGCGCCGCAAGCUCGCGAGAGCAAGCCAAUCGCAAAAAUGUACCCUCAGUUCGGAUUGGAGUCUGCAACUCGACUCCAUGAAGCUGGAAUCGCUAGUAAUCGUGGAUCAGCACGCCACGGUGAAUACGUUCCCGGGCCUUGUACACACCGCCCGUCACACCAUGGGAGUGUAUUGUACCGGAAAUCGGUGAGCUAACUCGCAAGAGAGGCAGCCGCUUAUGGUAUGGUUCAUGACUGGGGUGAAGUCGUGACAAGGUA
rnacentral:rRNA from 1 species